rnacentral:rRNA from 1 species
GGUUAAGUGACUAAGCGUACACGGUGGAUGCCUAGGCAGUCAGAGGCGAUGAAGGGCGUGCUAAUCUGCGAAAAGCGUCGGUAAGGUGAUAUGAACCGUUACAACCGGCGAUACCCGAAUGGGGAAACCCAGUGUGUUUCGACACACUAUCAUGUCAUGAAUACAUAGUGGCAUGAGGCGAACCGGGGGAACUGAAACAUCUAAGUACCCCGAGGAAAAGAAAUCAACCGAGAUUCCCCAGUAGCGGCGAGCGAACGGGGAGGAGCCCAGAACCUGAAUCGGCUUGUGUGUUAGUGGAAGCGUCUGGAAAGUCGCGCAGCAAAGGGUGAUAGCCCCGUACACUAAAAUGCACAGGUCGUGAGUUCGAUGAGUAGGGCGGGACACGUGACAUCCUGUCUGAAUAUGGGGGGACCAUCCUCCAAGGCUAAAUACUCCUGACUGACCGAUAGUGAACCAGUACCGUGAGGGAAAGGCGAAAGAACCCCGGCGAGGGGAGUGAAAUAGAACCUGAAACCGUGUACGUACAAGCAGUGGGAGCACCUUCGUGGUGUGACUGCGUACCUUUUGUAUAAUGGGUCAGCGACUUAUAUUUUGUAGCAAGGUUAACCGUAUAGGGGAGCCGUAGGGAAACCGAGUCUUAACUGGGCGAAUAGUUGCAAGGUAUAGACCCGAAACCCGGUGAUCUAGCCAUGGGCAGGUUGAAGGUUGGGUAACACUAACUGGAGGACCGAACCGACUAAUGUUGAAAAAUUAGCGGAUGACUUGUGGCUGGGGGUGAAAGGCCAAUCAAACCGGGAGAUAGCUGGUUCUCCCCGAAAGCUAUUUAGGUAGCGCCUCGUGAACUCAUCUUCGGGGGUAGAGCACUGUUUCGGCUAGGGGGCCAUCCCGGCUUACCAAACCGAUGCAAACUCCGAAUACCGAAGAAUGUUAUCACGGGAGACACACGGCGGGUGCUAACGUCCGUCGUGAAGAGGGAAACAACCCAGACCGCCAGCUAAGGUCCCAAAGUCAUGGUUAAGUGGGAAACGAUGUGGGAAGGCAUAGACAGCCAGGAUGUUGGCUUAGAAGCAGCCAUCAUUUAAAGAAAGCGUAAUAGCUCACUGGUCGAGUCGGCCUGCGCGGAAGAUGUAACGGGGCUAAACCAUGCACCGAAGCUGCGGCAGCGACGCUUAGGCGUUGUUGGGUAGGGGAGCGUUCUGUAAGCCGUUGAAGGUGGCCUGUGAGGGUUGCUGGAGGUAUCAGAAGUGCGAAUGCUGACAUAAGUAACGAUAAAGCGGGUGAAAAGCCCGCUCGCCGGAAGACCAAGGGUUCCUGUCCAACGUUAAUCGGGGCAGGGUGAGUCGACCCCUAAGGCGAGGCUGAAAAGCGUAGUCGAUGGGAAACAGGUUAAUAUUCCUGUACUUGGUGUUACUGCGAAGGGGGGACGGAGAAGGCUAGGCUAGCCGGGCGACGGUUGUCCCGGUUUAAGCGUGUAGGGGGUGUGACCUGGUAAAUCCGGUUGCAUAUCAACCCUGAGGCGUGAUGACGAUGCACUACGGUGCAGAAGUAGUUGAUGCCCUGCUUCCAGGAAAAGCCUCUAAGCUCUAGGUAACAUUGAAUCGUACCCCAAACCGACACAGGUGGUCAGGUAGAGAAUACCAAGGCGCUUGAGAGAACUCGGGUGAAGGAACUAGGCAAAAUGGUGCCGUAACUUCGGGAGAAGGCACGCUGGCAUGUAGGUGAAGUCCCUUGCGGAUGGAGCUGAAGCCAGUCGAAGAUACCAGCUGGCUGCAACUGUUUAAUAAAAACACAGCACUGUGCAAACACGAAAGUGGACGUAUACGGUGUGACGCCUGCCCGGUGCUGGAAGGUUAAUUGAUGGGGUCAGCCGCAAGGCGAAGCUCUUGAUCGAAGCCCCAGUAAACGGCGGCCGUAACUAUAACGGUCCUAAGGUAGCGAAAUUCCUUGUCGGGUAAGUUCCGACCUGCACGAAUGGCGUAAUGAUGGCCAGGCUGUCUCCACCCGAGACUCAGUGAAAUUGAACUCGCUGUGAAGAUGCAGUGUACCCGCGGCAAGACGGAAAGACCCCGUGAACCUUUACUAUAGCUUGACACUGAACAUUGAGCCUUGAUGUGUAGGAUAGGUGGGAGGCUUUGAAGCGUGGACGCCAGUCUGCGUGGAGCCAUCCUUGAAAUACCACCCUUUAAUGUUUGAUGUUCUAACUCGGCCCCAUAAUCUGGGGUGAGGACAGUGUCUGGUGGGUAGUUUGACUGGGGCGGUCUCCUCCCAAAGAGUAACGGAGGAGCACGAAGGUUAGCUAAUCACGGUCGGACAUCGUGAGGUUAGUGCAAAGGCAUAAGCUAGCUUGACUGCGAGAGUGACGGCUCGAGCAGGUACGAAAGUAGGUCUUAGUGAUCCGGUGGUUCUGAAUGGAAGGGCCAUCGCUCAACGGAUAAAAGGUACUCCGGGGAUAACAGGCUGAUACCGCCCAAGAGUUCAUAUCGACGGCGGUGUUUGGCACCUCGAUGUCGGCUCAUCACAUCCUGGGGCUGAAGUAGGUCCCAAGGGUAUGGCUGUUCGCCAUUUAAAGUGGUACGCGAGCUGGGUUUAGAACGUCGUGAGACAGUUCGGUCCCUAUCUGCCGUGGGCGUUGGAAGAUUGAGAGGGGUUGCUCCUAGUACGAGAGGACCGGAGUGAACGCACCACUGGUGUUCGGGUUGUCAUGCCAAUGGCAUUGCCCGGUAGCUAAGUGCGGAAAAGAUAAGCGCUGAAAGCAUCUAAGCGCGAAACUUGCCUCAAGAUGAGUCUUCCCUGGGCCUUUAAGGCCCCUGAAGGAACGUUUAAGACUAAGACGUUGAUAGGCUGGGUGUGUAAGUGCAGCGAUGCAUUGAGCUAACCAGUACUAAUGAUCCGUGAGGCUUAACCUU